GCCUGGUUAGCUCAGUCGGCAGACCAUGAGACUCUUAAUCUCAGGGUUGUGGGUUUGAGCCCCCCAUUGGGCG